AAUUUGGAACACAGUCAAGCAAAAAAUUCCAUCUUUUAGGUGAACGUGAAAAUAAUGUAUAUCCGCUGCAUUAACAAAUCAAACUCAGUGAUCAUUUCAACACAUGGUAAGAAGUUACCGUUAUUGUCGUGGUAAAGCUUCUCCCUAGAUCCUCGAAAAGCCAAACUAUGUUUACUAAGAUAUUUCACAACAACAACUGUUCUUACCAAUACAUGUCUCAAGCACUCAUUUUGAUGAGGACAUCACUCCUUUGUAUACACACAAUACUCCUCAAGUUGAUGCAAGGUCCAAUCACUAGAGCUUAUGCACGAAAUUGCAUUUGACAGGUGAGCUUGUUCCUAUGUAAUACUAUUUUUUAUUUUCGAUCUUCUCAAUAAGGGACAAAAAAUAGAAAAACUAUAUGAAGAAGCAACUCAAGAUGAUGU
rnacentral:sRNA from 1 species